UCUUCCAUGAAUGAGCUUCACAUAUGUAACUCGGCUACGGCUCAAGUCCCUUGGAACAGGGUGUCGGAGAGGGUGAGAAUCCCGUACCGUGGCGGGUUGCGGCCUUACGAUGCGUCCUCGUCGAGUCGGGUUGCUUGGGAUUGCAGCUUGAAUUGGGUGGUAAAUUCCAUCUAAAGCUAAAUACUGGCGAGAGACCGAUAGCGAACAAGUACCGUGAGGGAAAGAUGCAAAGAACUUUGAAAAGAGAGUCAAAGAGUGCUUGAAAUCGGUAGGAGGAAACCCGGAUGGGCCCGGCUUCGGCGCGCCGACUCAGCCUGGGGUUCUCCCCAGGUGCACUUCUGCGCGCCGGGUCAGCCGCGCCUCGGCGCCGCGCCUCAACCCGGGAGCGGGGCUUUACGGCCAGCUCCCGUCCUGGCGCGGCCCGGGGCCCGGCUGACGGAACGGGCCCCUCCGACCCGUCUAGAAACACGGACCAAGGAGUCUGACACGUGUGCGAGUACCCGGGUGGCAAGCCCGCGUGCGGAAUGAAAGUGAAGGGCAUGCCCUGCCAACCGACCUUGACCUGCUGUGAGGGGUUUGAGUGGAGCACACCUGUCGGGACCCGAAAGAUGGUGAACUAUGCCUGGGUAGGGUGAAGCCAGAGGAAACUCUGGUGGAGGCUCGUAGCGAUACUGACGUGCAAAUCGUUCGUCGAAUCUGGGUAUAGGGGCGAAAGACUAAUCGAACCAUCUAGUAGCUGGUUCCCUCCGAAGUUUCCCUCAGGAUAGCUUGAACGCAACGGUUUUGUCAGGUAAAGCGAAUGAUUAGAGGCCUGUGGGCUGAAACAGCUUGCACCUAUUCUCAAACUUUAAAUGGGCAAGAGGCCCGGGAUGCUUGAGUGAUCCCGGGCGGCGAACGGCGCGUUCAAAGUGGGCCAUUUUUGGUAAGCAGAACUGGCGAUGCGGGAUGAACCGAACGCCGCGCUAAGGUACCCAAGUGUCCGCUCAUCAGAUACCACAAAAGGCGUUGGUACCUCCAGACAGCAGGACGGUGGCCAUGGAAGUCGGAACCCGCUAAGGAGUGUGUAACAACUCACCUGCCGAAGGUACUAGCCCUGAAAAUGGAUGGCGCUCAAGCGGACCACCGAUGCGCGGCCGCCGGCGCGAGCGCGAGGCGCCGGCGAGUAGGAGGGCGCGGGGCUCGCGGCGCAGCCUUGGGCGCGAGCCUGGGUGAAGCGGGCCCCGGUGCAGAUCUUGGUGGUAGUAGCAAAUAUUCAAAUGAGAACUUUGAAGACUGAAGUGGAGAAAGGUUCCGUGUGAACAGCAGUUGGACACGGGUGAGCCGACCCUAAGAGACAGGAAAACUCCGCCGAACGCGGCUGGUUCUGUCAGCCCGUCCGUCGAAAGGGAAUCGGGUUAAUAUUCCCGAGCCAGCGCGUGGAUGGUGGGCGGCGACGCGAACGAACCCGGAGACGCCGGCGGGAGCCCUGGGAAGAGUUCUCUUUUCUUCUUAACUGCCUCCUGCCCUGGAAUCGGUUUAGCCGGAGCGAGGGCUACACGGCAGGCAAAGCACCCUAAGUCUUGGGGUGUCCGGCGCGCUCCCGACGGCCCGUGAAAAUCCGGGGGAGCGGUUCGUUCUCACGCCUGGUCGUACUCAUAACCGCAUCAGGUCUCCAAGGUGAACAGCCUCUAGUCGAUAGAGCAAUGUAGGUAAGGGAAGUCGGCAAAAUGGUUCCGCAACCUCGGGAGAAGGAAUGGCUCUGAAGGCUGGGCGCAGGGGUCCUAGGCUCGAGGCCGGCUGGCUGCGCGGGGACUACGGCCUCACGGCUGCGGAUCCCGCGCGGCCGUCCGGCGGACGGCCUAGGAGCGCUCCGGCUCUCCCUGCGCGACGAACAGCCGCUUCAGAACUGGCGCGGACAAGGGGAAUCCGACUGUUUAAUUAAAACAAAGCAUUGCGAUGGCCCGCGAGGGUGCUGACGCAAUGUGAUUUCUGCCCAGUGCUCUGAAUGUCAAAGUGAAGAAAUUCAACCAAGCGCGGGUAAACGGCGGGAGUAACUAUGACUCUCUUAAGGUAGCCAAAUGCCUCGUCAUCCAAUUAGUGACGCGCAUGAAUGGAUUCGUGAGAUUCCCACUGUCCCUAUCUACUGUCUAGCGAAACCACAGCCAAGGGAACGGGCUUGGAAGAAUCAGCGGGGAAAGAAGACCCUGUUGAGCUUGACUCUAGUCUGUUACUGUGGAACGACUUGAUGGGUGUAGAAUAUGCGGGAGGGGCAACCCGACAGUGAAAUACCGCAACCGUCAACGUUGUUUUACUUACUCGGUGGCGCGGAGGGAGGCUCGCCUCACUUCUGGAUCCAAGCCGCUUCGUGCGCGCGAUCCGCGUCGGGGACACUAACAGGUGGGGAGUUUGGCUGGGGCGGCACGUCUGUUAAAAAAUAACGCAGGCGCCCGAUUUUGAGCUCAAUGAGAACAGAAAUCUCAUGUGGACCGAAAGGGGAAAAGCUCGGUUGAUUUUGAUUUUCAGUACGAAUACAAACCGCGAAAGCGUGGCCUAUCGAUCCUCUCGUCUUUGGGAAUUUCAAGCUAGAGGUGUCAGAAAAGUUACCACAGGGAUAACUGGCUUGUGGCUGCCAAGCGUUCAUAGCGACGUAGCUUUUUGAUCCUUCGAUGUCGGCUCUUCCUAUCACUGCCUCGCAGCGGGGGCCAAAUGCAGGAUUGUUCACCCACCAACAGGGAACGUGAGCUGGGUUUAGACCGUCGUGAGACAGGUUAGUUUUACCCUACUGCUGUCUGUUUUUCUACGGUAAUUUGGUUCAGUACGAGAGGAACCACCAAUUCGCAUCAUCGGUAUAGCCGCCGCCGGAAACGGCGAUGCGGCGAAGCUGCCAUGCGCCGGAUUAUAACUGAACGCCUCUAAGUUAGAAUCCAUGCCGGAAGGAAAGCCACCUACCGGCCCGGGGACGCCACGAGCAACGGUAGCACUGCCUGAGCCGCGAGCGACCACAAUUCACGGACCCGGGCCGACGAAUCCCUUGCAGACGACUUG
rnacentral:rRNA from 1 species